GAAGGACAAAGCCAGGGAAAAAAAUCAGGUUAUCAAAAAAUAAGAUGAGGAACCACUGGCAGCAAGCCAUCUUACGAAGAAUCGUAUGACAGACAUGUGAUAAUGGAGACAUCAGCCACUUGUGAUAAAACCCAAUCAAAGCACAACCAAGGGUGAAAUUAUUACGACCAAAGUGGAACGAAUGGGGUCAGCUCCUAUUGGAUAAUCGAUACAGCUUGCUGCACCAGGGCGUGCAAGGUCAAGGUCGCCUCCUGGGGGCAUGAACGCUGCUAUCGUCAUGAACAACAGGAUCCAGAUAGGAGCAAAAGGUACAGAUACUUUCACAAGAACGAAUCCAGUGCAUACUUGAGAUAUAAUGUCUCAUUGAACAUUCGACAUUCGAUCGGUCAGUUCAAGGUUCCCAAGAAAGCAUCCAGCGAACCGGAAAAAAGAUAAAUGCUAAUGCCAAGGCCGUGACGACAUAAUAGGUGGACCUCGAAAUAGUGAUGAGAUACGGUCAGUCUGGCAAUUGCUCGAUUCGAUCAAAGAGUGGUCAGAGGUUAUCGUCAAGAACCGGUUCAUACAUUCAGUAGUUUUUUUCGACAACUUUUCACUAGGAAAUCGGCAGUUAAGACUGCUUUGGUUCGUUCGACGACCGAAAUUUAUAUGUUCACCUUCGUUUGAUUGAAAAUUCAUAUGAUAAUUCAUUCGGGAUAAUGAAU